GACGAACGCUGGCGGCGUGCUUUACACAUGCAAGUCGAACGGUGAAGGUGGAGCUUGCUCCGCCGGAUCAGUGGCGAACGGGUGAGUAACACGUGGGCAACCUGCCCCUAACUUUGGGAUAACUACUCGAAAGAGUAGCUAAUACCGGAUAUGAAGUCUGUAGGCAUCUAUGGAUUUGGAAAGUUUUUCGGUUAGGGAUGGGCCCGCGGCCUAUCAGCUUGUUGGUGAGGUAGUGGCUCACCAAGGCGACGACGGGUAGCCGGCCUGAGAGGGCGACCGGCCACACUGGGACUGAGACACGGCCCAGACUCCUACGGGAGGCAGCAGUGGGGAAUAUUGCGCAAUGGACGAAAGUCUGACGCAGCGACGCCUCGUGAGGGACGAAGGUCUUCGGAUUGUAAACCUCUUUCAGCAGGGACGAAGCGAAAGUGACGGUACCUGCAGAAAAAGCACCGGCUAACUACGUGCCAGCAGCCGCAGUAA
rnacentral:rRNA from 1 species